ACAUGCCAGGUUGGUGUGUGUGUGUGUGUGUGUGUGUGUGUGUGUGUGUGUGUGUGCACGUGUGCAUGCACCCAAAGUCCCACA
ensembl:miRNA